rnacentral:rRNA from 1 species
AAGGGCACCACAAGAACGCGUGGAGCAUGUGGCUUAAUUUGACCCAACGCGGGAAAUCUUACCGGGUCCGGACACACUGAGGAUUGACAGGCAAAAGGGACAAUUGCUUCGGCAAUUGUGCUGUAAAAUAUGCGAGUCCUUUCAUGAUUAUGUGAUAGGUGGUGCAUGGCCGUUCUUAGUUCGUGGAGUGAUCUGUCUGCUUAAUUGCGUUUCGCUACGAGUUAAAUACCAGCUUUCGCGCCUGCUGUUCGGUCGCCUCUGUGUGACUUUGAACGCAGCGCAUUGCAGGUUAAACACUCGGAAAGCAACGAACGUGACCG